CAGAGCCAGGCGCUCCCACCUGUGCCAGGAGGGCAGGACCUGAAACCAGCUGGAGGAGGCGAAUCCCUCUGCCUAUCCCUUCCCCGUGCGUAGCUGUGGGAGAGGAGCAGGGACUCAUCCCUUGGCACAGAGCUGACAGCAGAGCGCCGGGUCCGGAGGAGCGAAUAAACAGAUUUGGCCACGCAAAGGAGAUGGAGGCAUUCACGGGAGAGCAUCUGACAGCUUGGGGCGAGCGGAGAGCUGGCGCUGGAGGAGCGAUGGAAUCCCUGCGCGCACAGAGUGCUUCGCCCCGAAGGAAGCAGAGGGUUUUGCCUUUGCUUAACAGAGAGGAAAAGAAGCAGCAGAUCCUCAGCUUUGUGAGCACCAGGUGGUCCCUUUCCCAGCUGGGUGACCCC
ensembl:lncRNA